CAAUGGCUAAUGCCGGAUACGCAUGGAACCGCAUGGUCCGUUGUGAAAGGCGCUGUAAGGCGCCACUAAAAAAGAUGAGGGGGGUGCGGAACAUUAGUUAGUUUGGUGAGGUAAUGGCCCACCAAGACUAUGAUGUUUUAGCCGGGUCGAGAGACUGAACGGCCCACAUUGGGACUGAGAUACGGCCCAAACUCCUACGGGAGGCAGCAGUAGGGAAUAUUCCACAAUGAGCGAAAGCUUGAUGGAGCGACACAGCGUGCACGAUGAAGGUCUUCGGAUUGUAAAGUGCUGUUAUAAGGGAAGAACAUUUGCAAUAGGAAAUGAUUGCAGACUGACGGUACCUUGUCAGAAAGCGAUGGCUAACUAUGUGCCAGCAGCCGCGGUAAU
rnacentral:rRNA from 1 species